UACGAAGGGGGCUAGCGUUGCUCGGAAUCACUGGGCGUAAAGCGCACGUAGGCGGAUUGUUAAGUCAGGGGUGAAAUCCUGGAGCUCAACUCCAGAACUGCCUUUGAUACUGGACGAUCUCGAGUCCGGGAGAGGUGAGUGGAACUGCGAGUGUAGAGGUGAAAUUCGUAGAUAUUCGCAAGAACACCAGUGGCGAAGGCGGACUCACUGGCCCGGUACUGACGCUGAGGUG
rnacentral:rRNA from 1 species